rfam:Otolemur garnettii contig025778, whole genome shotgun sequence.
GUGGUCACUUCGGCAGCACACAUGCUAAAAUUGGAACACUACAGAGAAGACUAGCAUGCCCCUGUGCAAGGAUGCCAGGCAAAUUCGUGAAAAAUUCUGUAUUUUU